UGUGAGCUCGAUGAGUAGGGCGGGACACGUGGUAUCCUGUCUGAAUAUGGGGGGACCAUCCUCCAAGGCUAAAUACUCCUGACUGACCGAUAGUGAACCAGUACCGUGAGGGAAAGGCGAAAAGAACCCCGGCGAGGGGAGUGAAAAAGAACCUGAAACCGUGUACGUACAAGCAGUGGGAGCACAGAGCAAUCUGUGUGACUGCGUACCUUUUGUAUAAUGGGUCAGCGACUUAUAUUCUGUAGCAAGGUUAACCGAAUAGGGGAGCCGAAGGGAAACCGAGUCUUAACUGGGCGUUAAGUUGCAGGGUAUAGACCCGAAACCCGGUGAUCUAGCCAUGGGCAGGUUGAAGGUUGGGUAACACUAACUGGAGGACCGAACCGACUAAUGUUGAAAAAUUAGCGGAUGACUUGUGGCUGGGGGUGAAAGGCCAAUCAAACCGGGAGAUAGCUGGUUCUCCCCGAAAGCUAUUUAGGUAGCGCCUCGUGAAUUCAUCUCCGGGGGUAGAGCACUGUUUCGGCAAGGGGGUCAUCCCGACUUACCAACCCGAUGCAAACUGCGAAUACCGGAGAAUGUUAUCACGGGAGACACACGGCGGGUGCUAACGUCCGUCGUGAAGAGGGAAACAACCCAGACCGCCAGCUAAGGUCCCAAAGUCAUGGUUAAGUGGGAAACGAUGUGGGAAGGCCCAGACAGCCAGGAUGUUGGCUUAGAAGCAGCCAUCAUUUAAAGAAAGCGUAAUAGCUCACUGGUCGAGUCGGCCUGCGCGGAAGAUGUAACGGGGCUAAACCAUGCACCGAAGCUGCGGCAGCGACGCUUAUGCGUUGUUGGGUAGGGGAGCGUUCUGUAAGCCUGUGAAGGUGUACUGUGAGGUAUGCUGGAGGUAUCAGAAGUGCGAAUGCUGACAUAAGUAACGAUAAAGCGGGUGAAAAGCCCGCUCGCCGGAAGACCAAGGGUUCCUGUCCAACGUUAAUCGGGGCAGGGUGAGUCGACCCCUAAGGCGAGGCCGAAAGGCGUAGUCGAUGGGAAACAGGUUAAUAUUCCUGUACUUGGUGUUACUGCGAAGGGGGGACGGAGAAGGCUAUGUUGGCCGGGCGACGGUUGUCCCGGUUUAAGCGUGUAGGCUGGUUUUCCAGGCAAAUCCGGAAAAUCAAGGCUGAGGCGUGAUGACGAGGCACUACGGUGCUGAAGCAACAAAUGCCCUGCUUCCAGGAAAAGCCUCUAAGCAUCAGGUAACAUCAAAUCGUACCCCAAACCGACACAGGUGGUCAGGUAGAGAAUACCAAGGCGCUUGAGAGAACUCGGGUGAAGGAACUAGGCAAAAUGGUGCCGUAACUUCGGGAGAAGGCACGCUGAUAUGUAGGUGAAGUCCCUCGCGGAUGGAGCUGAAAUCAGUCGAAGAUACCAGCUGGCUGCAACUGUUUAUUAAAAACACAGCACUGUGCAAACACGAAAGUGGACGUAUACGGUGUGACGCCUGCCCGGUGCCGGAAGGUUAAUUGAUGGGGUCAGCGCAAGCGAAGCUCUUGAUCGAAGCCCCGGUAAACGGCGGCCGUAACUAUAACGGUCCUAAGGUAGCGAAAUUCCUUGUCGGGUAAGUUCCGACCUGCACGAAUGGCGUAAUGAUGGCCAGGCUGUCUCCACCCGAGACUCAGUGAAAUUGAACUCGCUGUGAAGAUGCAGUGUACCCGCGGCAAGACGGAAAGACCCCGUGAACCUUUACUAUAGCUUGACACUGAACAUUGAGCCUUGAUGUGUAGGAUAGGUGGGAGGCUUUGAAGUGUGGACGCCAGUCUGCAUGGAGCCGACCUUGAAAUACCACCCUUUAAUGUUUGAUGUUCUAACGUUGACCCGUAAUCCGGGUUGCGGACAGUGUCUGGUGGGUAGUUUGACUGGGGCGGUCUCCUCCUAAAGAGUAACGGAGGAGCACGAAGGUUGGCUAAUCCUGGUCGGACAUCAGGAGGUUAGUGCAAUGGCAUAAGCCAGCUUGACUGCGAGCGUGACGGCGCGAGCAGGUGCGAAAGCAGGUCAUAGUGAUCCGGUGGUUCUGAAUGGAAGGGCCAUCGCUCAACGGAUAAAAGGUACUCCGGGGAUAACAGGCUGAUACCGCCCAAGAGUUCAUAUCGACGGCGGUGUUUGGCACCUCGAUGUCGGCUCAUCACAUCCUGGGGCUGAAGUAGGUCCCAAGGGUAUGGCUGUUCGCCAUUUAAAGUGGUACGCGAGCUGGGUUUAGAACGUCGUGAGACAGUUCGGUCCCUAUCUGCCGUGGGCGCUGGAGAACUGAGGGGGGCUGCUCCUAGUACGAGAGGACCGGAGUGGACGCAUCACUGGUGUUCGGGUUGUCAUGCCAAUGGCACUGCCCGGUAGCUAAAUGCGGAAGAGAUAAGUGCUGAAAGCAUCUAAGCACGAAACUUGCCCCGAGAUGAGUUCUCCCUGACUCCUUGA
rnacentral:rRNA from 1 species